GCCUUAAAAAGAUUUCAGAGUGGGAGGUUUGGAAAACUCAACAAAAGAGUAACUUUUCCCGAGACAUUAGAUCUGAGCCCUUAUACGAGUGAAGGAGAUGGUACAGAUGUGUACACACUUUAUGCUGUUGUUGUCCAUGUGGAUAUGCUAAAUGCAUCUUUUUUUGGUCAUUAUAUCUGCUAUAUUAAGGACUUCCGUGGAAACUGGUACAGAGUUGAUGACUGUAAGGUUCAAAAUGUUGAAUUGGAGGAAGUUCUUUCUCAG
rnacentral:misc_RNA from 1 species